UACAGAGGGUGCGAGCGUUGUUCGGAAUUAUUGGGCGUAAAGCGCGUGUAGGCGGCUUGGCAAGUCGGGUGUGAAAGCCCUCAGCUCAACUGAGGAAGUGCGCCCGAAACUGCUUUGCUUGAGUACUGGAGAGGGUCGCGGAAUUCCCGGUGUAGAGGUGAAAUUCGUAGAUAUCGGGAGGAACACCGGUGGCGAAGGCGGCGAUCUGGGUAGAUACUGACGCUGAGGUGCGAAAGCGUGGGGAGCAAACAGG
rnacentral:rRNA from 1 species